rnacentral:rRNA from 1 species
CCUACGGGCGGCAGCAGUGGGGAAUAUUGCGCAAUGGGCGAAAGCCUGACGCCGCGACGCCGCGUGAGGGAUGAAGGUCUUCGGAUCGUUAACCUCUGUUAGCAGGGAAGAACGGUGACUGUGCUAAUCAUCAGUGAAUUGACGGUACCUGCAAAGGAAGCACCGGCUAACUCCGUGCCAGCAGCAGCGGUAAUACGGAGGGUGCGUGCGUUAAUCGGAUUUACUGGGUGUAAAGCGCUCGUAGGCGGUAAGUCAAGGUAGGGGUGAAAUCCCCGCGCUCAACGUGUGAACUGCCUUUGAAACUGGCAGACUGGAGUGUGUGAGAGGAUAGUGGAAUUCCAGGUGUAGGAGUGAAAUGCGUAGAUAUCUGGAAGAACAUCAGUGGCGAAGGCGACUAUCUGGCACAUAACUGACGCUGAGGAGCGAAAGCGUGGGUAGCAAACAGGAUUAGAUACCCGAGUAGUC